GAUGAAGAACGUAGCGAAAUGCGAUAAGUAGUGUGAAUUGCAGAAUUCAGUGAAUCAUCGAAUCUUUGAACGCACAUUGCGCCCCUCGGUAUUCCGUGGGGCAUGCCUGUUCGAGCGUCAUUUAACCCCUCAAGCCUAGCUUGGUAUUGGGUGCUUGUCCCGCCCCUCGCGCGGCGACUCACCUCAAAGUCAUUGGCAGCCCGCAUCUCGCCGGCCGUGAGCGCAGCACAGACGCGCUCUUGGCAACGACGGAUCGGCUCUCCAAAAGCUUAUUUCAACCACUGACCUCGGAUCAGGUAGGGAUACCCGCUGAACUUAAGCAUAUCAAUAAGCGGAGGA
rnacentral:misc_RNA from 1 species